UACAGAGGGCGCGAGCGUUGUCCGGAAUCACUGGGCGUAAAGGGCUCGUAGGUGGCCAACUAAGUCAGACGUGAAAUCCCUCGGCUUAACCGGGGGAACUGCGUCUGAUACUGGAUGGCUUGAGGUUGGGAGAGGGAUGCGGAAUUCCAGGUGUAGCGGUGAAAUGCGUAGAUAUCUGGAGGAACACCGGGUGGCGAAGGCAGCCCCCCUGGGUCAACACUGACGCUCAUGCA
rnacentral:rRNA from 1 species